CUUCCAAUUUUGAGGGGCUGCCACAGAGAGGAAGGAGUCAAGCUAUUUUCUAAAGCACCUGUAGGCCAGACAAGGAAUAAUGGAUGGAAACUGAACAAGGAGAGAUUUAACCUGGAAAUAAGGAGAAAUUGUCUGACAGUGAGUACAGUCAACCAAUGGAACAGCUUUCCCUCAGAAGUUGUGGGAACGCCAUCACUUGAGACUUCCAAGAAGAGACUGGACUGCCAUUAGUCAGAAAUGGUGUAGGGUCUCCCGCUUAGGCAGGGGGUUGGACGAGAUGACCUAUAAGGUCCCUUCCAACUCUGAUUAUCUGUUAUCUGUUAUAGGGCUACCCUUGAAGAGCAUUUGGAAGCUACAACGGGUACAGAAGGCAAUGCCACUUACAGUCCCGGAGGCCUCUGGCAUGGCAUACAUGACACCAAUGUUACACAAGCUGCACAGAUUGCCCAUCAUCUUGUUUGUUUAAUUUUUAACUUUUAUUCCGAUUAUAAUUGUUUUUAGCAAUUUCUAACCUUUUAUUAUAUUGUAGGUCACCCAAGAGAUAAGCAAAAGAGCAGGCUUCUCAUUACUCCAUUCUUUUUAAUUAGAAUGAAUUCACUGUUUUCUUUUCAGGGAUGUAAAGUGUGGCAAGUUACACUGCAAAAAGGGACACGUGAUAUGCAUCUGCUUUGUUUCACCAGAUGACCCAGAUUAUGGAAUGGCUGAACCUGGAACAAAAUGUGGAGAUGGAAAGGUGUGCAUCAACAGGCAGUGUGUUGAUGUGCAGACAGCCUACUGAUCAAGCACUGGCUUCUCUCAAUUUGAUUUUGGAGAUCCUCAUCCAGAAGGCUUCCCUCAAGUCCAAAGAGACCCAUCUGUCUUUCUCCUAUUAGUAAAUCACUCCUAGCUUUCAGAUGGUAUCUGAAACUUGCAAUAUUUCUUCUCCAUAAUUUAAUCAGAUAAUCUUUUGCUAUAAUCAGAUCUUUUCCCUGCCACAAAGCUCCAUGGUCAUGUACAGCAAGAAGAAAAUGGCCAUUUUACCGUUUGCCAAUUGCAAUUCACAUUUAAUGCAACAAGCUCUGCCCUUUGAGCUGGCAUAUUCAAAGGCAAUGCUCCCUCUCCCAAAAUUAUACGCUGGCUUUCCAAGAGGUAGCUUCUUCCAUCAAUAAACUAUCCUCAUUCU